UACGGAGGGGGCAAGCGUUAUUCACCUUGACUGGGCGUAAAGGGUACGUAGGUGGUUUUUUAUUUAUUAAAUAAGUAAUCCAAGCACAACUUUAGAAGUUAUUUUUUAAACUUUAAAACUAGAGAAAUAAAGGAGUAAGUUACAUUUUCAAAGUAGGGGUGAAAUCCUUAGAUAGUGAAAAGAUAGCCGUAUGGCGAAAGCUACUUACUAUUUAUCACCUGACACUGAGGUACGGAAGCGUGGGGAUCAAACAGG
rnacentral:rRNA from 1 species